rnacentral:sRNA from 1 species
GCACGCCGUGACGCCCCGAUCCAGGCCUC